rnacentral:rRNA from 1 species
CCUACGGGAGGCAGCAGUGGGGAAUUUUGGACAAUGGGCGCAAGCCUGAUCCAGCAAUGCCGCGUGCAGGAUGAAGGCCUUCGGGUUGUAAACUGCUUUUGUACGGAGCGAAACGGUCUGCUUUAAUACAGUAGGCUAAUGACGGUACCGUAAGAAUAAGCACCGGCUAACUACGUGCCAGCAGCCGCGGUAAUACGUAGGGUGCGAGCGUUAAUCGGAAUUACUGGGCGUAAAGCGUGCGCAGGCGGUUAUAUAAGACAGAUGUGAAAUCCCCGGGCUCAACCUGGGACCUGCAUUUGUGACUGUAUAGCUAGAGUACGGUAGAGGGGGAUGGAAUUCCGCGUGUAGCAGUGAAAUGCGUAGAUAUGCGGAGGAACACCGAUGGCGAAGGCAAUCCCCUGGACCUGUACUGACGCUCAUGCACGAAAGCGUGGGGAGCAAACAGGAUUAGAUACCCUGGUAGUCCACGCCCUAAACGAUGUACACUGGUUGUUGGUCUUCACUGACUCAGUAACGAAGCUAACGCGUAGAAGUUGACCGCCGUGGGGAGGUACGGCCGCGAGUAGAACGUACGAAGUAGAGUUAGACGGACGUGAGACGNGCCGACGGACGACGACGAGGGAGGAGG